AACUUAGAGUUAGAGUAUAUUUAUUGUUUUGUAUAUUAUAAAUAAUACGAAGAUAUUUAUGUUUCUUAAUGUUAAAUUUGAUUGAUAAUUAUAUUUUUAAGAUUGUAUUUUCUAAAGACAAAAUUUAAUAAGUAUUCUCCUUAUUGAGUUGUUUGAAUUGAAGUUGUACUCACAUUAUUAUCGAUACGUGUAGCUUCGUUUUCAACAAAAUUUUCAAUUGCAGUUUGUCUGCAGAAGUAUGGUUAUGGAGUUACCAUACUUUAAUACCUAAAGUUUAAGCGAUACAACAAUUACAUUUUACAAAAUUUGAAGUAUGUUACAAAUAUCAAAUAUUAAAUAUACAUCACACUAUUAAUCUAUAAACGAAUAAAUGUAUAAAUAUCUAGUUAUUUUGUAUGCAUGAUCUUUCUUAUUCAAAUUCAAAUUAACCUCGAAAAUAAUUAUAGUAAGGAUAAUUAAUGUAUUCUAUUAAAUCUUCUAUCAUAUUAAAUUUUGUAUUAUAUUGACCUUUAAAUUGUAAUUGAUGUAUUAUAUUAAAUAUAAAAAUUUCUUUCGUAAAGAAUAUGAAAUGUGAUUUGUCACGUUCUUCUCUUUAAAUGCAAGUGUUAUAUUACUUAUCAAUGUUAAUGUCUCAAUAGCUUCUAGAAUAUGAUCACAUAAAGAGAUUUUGGAUACUCAUAAGUAAUCUGUAAUUUGAAUUUGUGCGUUCAGAAAGGUAGAUUACGUGACUAUUCUUUUCAUAAAUGUUUAAUAGAUUCUCUUUUUCGCCUCAUAAAAAGUUUUCCAACUGCGUCAUAAGGAUAAUUGGAUCGUAAUAUGAUACAGCGACACAAAGCAAAAAUAAAAAAGUACCAAAAUAAAAAGGUCUUUAGACCUAGAUAACUAGAGAAGAUGGAAUAUUUAAAAACAAUGUAUAAUGAAGUAAAAAACAUAAUGUGUAUUUCUCAUUUUAGUAUAUAUGUAUAUACACUGAUGAAAUGGGAACAGCCUUAUUUCUAUUAAUUUAUGAUAUAAUAAGCCAUAAUACUUAAAGUAUUAAACACAAAAAUUCCAAACAUUUCUAGAAUAUCAUCAUACAAUCAGCUUUAAAUUACCGUUAUAAGUAUUAAUGUUUAAACAGUUCCAGAAUAUUUUUCAUUGUAUUAACGACCAUGAUGUUAGUUUGAAGUACAUUCUUCUUUUAUAUUCUGUUAUUAAAAAGUAUUCCAGUACAAUAUUUUUCUUAAUAAACUUAUGGUUUAUAAUCUCUAUUAGAAAUUUACUUUUUCAUGAUUAAUAAAAUUACUUUUUUUUUCAAUGAUAUAUAGUAAGUAUUCCUAGCUUCUUUCUAGAAGACAAACAAUUAUACAUAAGUAUCCAACAAUAAACAGUUUCAUUUCUAUACAAAGUUAAAAUAAUCUUAUUAUUGUGCAAUUUUCUUUGAACAUAUGAGCUUCCUUAAUAAAGCAAAAUCAAUUAGCAUGUAC